UAGCUCAGUAGGUAGAGCGGGUCGUCCACUAACGAUAGGGUCGGCGGUUCGAUCCCCUUGAUCCCCA